rnacentral:rRNA from 1 species
GACGUAGGGGGCGAGCGUUGUCCGGAAUUACUGGGCGUAAAGGGCGUGUAGGCGGCUUUUCAAGUCGGCUGUGAAAUUCCCCGGCUUAACCGGGGGGGUGCAGUCGAAACUGAUGGGCUUGAGUGCAGGAGAGGGUGGUGGAAUUCCCGGUGUAGCGGUGACAUGCGUAGAUAUCGGGAGGAACACCGGUGGCGAAGGCGACCUCCUGGCCUGUUACUGACGCUGAGGCGCGAAAGCUGGGGGAGCAAACAGGAUUAGAUACC